GUCCAACUGAUGAGUCUCAAAUAGGACAAAACAUGUGUCCUAGAU
rnacentral:hammerhead_ribozyme from 1 species